rnacentral:rRNA from 1 species
AGUGAACGCUGGCGGUAGGCCUAACACAUGCAAGUCGAACGGCAGCACAGUAAGAGCUUGCUCUUACGGGUGGCGAGUGGCGGACGGGUGAGGAAUACAUCGGAAUCUACUUUUUCGUGGGGGAUAACGUAGGGAAACUUACGCUAAUACCGCAUACGACCUACGGGUGAAAGCAGGGGAUCUUCGGACCUUGCGCGAUUGAAUGAGCCGAUGUCGGAUUAGCUAGUUGGCGGGGUAAAGGCCCACCAAGGCGACGAUCCGUAGCUGGUCUGAGAGGAUGAUCAGCCACACUGGAGAUGAGACACGGUCCAGACUCCUACGGGAGGCAGCAGUGGGGAAUAUUGGACAAGGGGCGCAAGCCUGAUCCAGCCAUACCGCGUGGGUGAAGAAGGCCUUCGGGUUGUAAAGCCCUUUUGUUGGGAAAGAAAGCAGCAGGUUAAUACCCCGCUGUUCUGACGGUACCCAAAGAAUAAGCACCGGCUAACUUCGUG